rnacentral:piRNA from 1 species
UCCUAACAGGAAACUGAUCUGGCCUAGGGUA